rnacentral:rRNA from 1 species
UACAGGGGGUGCAACCGUUGCUCGGAAUUAUUGGGCGUAAAGCGCACGUAGGCGGUUCGUUAUGUCGGAUGUGAAAGCCCUUGGCUCAACUGAGGAAGUGCAUCCGAAACUGGCGAGCUAGAGUAUGUAAGAGGGUCGCGGAAUUCCCGGUGUAGAGGUGAAAUUCGUAGAUAUCGGGAGGAACACCGGUGGCGAAGGCGGUUCUCUGGGCAUUACCUGACGCUGAGGAGCGAAAGUGUGGGGAGCGAACAGG